AUCGCUGGCACCGAUGGCACUGUGCUGCUUUGCCUGAUUUCUUCGGUUUUUCAACCUUGACCAUCAGGCUGCAGACGGUCUUGAUUUGCCAGACGUCUUUGGUCUGGCUGAGUGGUGCCUCGACGAGCACCAACGGGAGUUGCCUCUUUCCCGCGUGCAUCCGGUGGACGCAGACAGGAUUGAAUUAUUAAUUUUGGCAAAAUGCACCAAAGUAAAUAUUUGACAAAAAGUUUCAUUUUUAACAAUUAGUUCUGUAUGGACCCCUUUUUUCCUUUUAAACCACGAUAUAACAUUUAUGAAUUUCCUUUAUUCCUUUACCAUCAUCUGCCUUUGCACCUGAUACAUAUAGCAAUGAUUUUUUUCAAUUCUAUUUUUUCCUCAUUAUCAAUAGCAACAAAUGCAAUUUUAUUUGUUGAAAACUCCUUCCUCAGGGGUCAUGUCCUUUUCAUUUCAGGGGCAUCCUCUAAAAUACUGUCAGGGCUGGUGUUCAGAAAAGGAUUUUCUUUAAAUAUGAAUAACCAGAAGUUAUUGUUUUUACUGUCAUUCCAUGGACGCAGGAAGGAUUGAAGCCCUAGAGCUUCUAGUCCUGGAUCACUGCUUCCACCGACACUUGGACCGAGAUCCCUCGCAGGACGACCCGGGUGUCUCUCUCCUCCGGGACAGUGAAAGUGUGGUACGGGCUUUUCUCCUCGUCCAUGAGUUUUGUGAAUGCUCUGAAAUCAGCAAAGGUAGACGGCUAAAUUCGAAUUUGAUCACUCACGCUCUUUGCCUUCGUGAAUCUGAUUUUCCUCUUAUUUGCGACGAAUCGUGUUGCCAUUUUUCUGCGUCUCGCAAGAAAAUUGGCGGAAUUCGUGGGGCCUUUGGAAUGGGAGCUACGGGAGUGGAGCCUGAGGGGCCGCCACAACCAAGGACCAUAUCACCGUCCUGGGGGUGGACUUGGGAGGCUUGGUUAAGGAUUUCUUCUUCCUUUUCCUACUUAUUUCGUCCUCUCCUUUCUUGUCUUCCGACGGGGUCGGAUCGAAAACGUCCUUGUUGAACAGGCUUGAGAACGUGUUCACUGUAUCGAUCUCCGGUUCGACGGGAGUUGGGGAUGGAGGUCCUCGCUUUUUGCCUGUUUUCACUGGGCCGAAGGCGUCGGUCUCCAUGAAGUUCUAGGUAGACAUGGGAAAAGUUUUGGAGUUUUUGUCUGCGGAGACGGUCUGUCUCUCUGGGUGCCAGAAGGGACUUUAGCUUUUUCUAUUUGUAUUAUGAAACCUUAAUUUUAUUUGCGAGAAAGAAUUCUAACGUGUUGAUAAACACGCUUCAAAGACGGUGAAACCCAUGAGGUGUUCGCGGACUUGAAACGCCAGGGUUUUAACCCCAUCAGCACCCAUCGGAUGCACACCGGAAAGAAAGAACUACCGCAGGUGCUCCUGUGCUUUUUCUUUGGUUUUUUCCCUAGGGAAGGUGCUUCGCCAUCGGUUGUGGCCUCGAAUUAGUCGAUUUGCAUUCAUCAACGAUUCAGAAGGAGAGCGACGAAGGCCGAAAGUUUUUCAGCCAACUCCUUUGGGCUCUUAGCCAUUGCCACGGCUGUGCCAAUCUGAUUCCUCUGCAAUCCAAAGGUCGCCGUUUGACGCUGUUGAGCGGUCUUUCUGGUGCCUCGUUUGCUUUUGGUGGCGGUAGGGUUUGCUUUGAGAACAGCAACCGUGGCGACGGCUGUCAGCUUGCGGGCGGUUGUCAAGGGGCGGCGGCCCUCUGCAGCUUGGAAAACUGCGUACAGCCUCUGUAAUUGGCCGGAAGAGGGCCACUACAAUUGGCACACUUAGGAGGCUCCUUGCUCUUCUUUGUGCACAAUUUUGUGUCAUGUGCUUCUCCGCACUUGACACAUCGGUGUUCUACCAUGCAGUUCCUCUGUGCGUGGAAGAAUCGCUAACACCGAUGGCACUGAGCUGUUUUUCUUGAUUUUCUCGGUUUUUCAACCUUGACCAUCAGGCUGCAUAUUUUCAGAAUUAUGAAAAAGAAGGUCAAGAAUAAAAAAAGUACUUAAUCGGCAGUUGCAGUUGCAGUUGUAUUGGGUGGCCAAUAAAUGCUGCCUAAAAUAAUAUUUGAGUUGGAAUACCAACUUUUAGAAACAACGCUUUAAUACCAGGAAUUUUACUCUUUAAUCAAGUAACAACAGCUUAUCAUCAUUGAAAUGAAUUCAAAUGAAUUAGUUUGAUGAAUCAAUCCAUUGCAUUCCAACAAAAUUUUUGGUGCGAAAUAAACAAGCCCAUUUACAGGGAUGAGCGUGUCAACAAUACAAGGUACACAAUUCAAUUGUUUACUUGUCAACAAUUGCGUAGACGUUAACAUUUGAAGUGAUGUCAACAAUAUCAAAUAUGUUAACAAUAUACAAAUAAUAGAUUAUGACAUUUAUGUCAAAAUUUGUUAUGCUAUUUGACUGUGGAAUGUAGGUAAUGGUUAAUAAUAAUACUUACGGGAAUUUUACAAUUGUCACAUAAACCCCGGAUAAGUAUUUUUAAAUCUAGCCACAUAUUUACUGCAUCUGCUUGUGACAUGUGUUUAUUAAGUUGCAUAUUGGGUUGUAGCUGCACUUUGUUUCGUAUAGUCCACACUUUCCAAGAGACUUUGAAAUGCAUUUCUAUACGAACACUACCUUGCGUCAAUAAGUAAUUUGAUUCUGCAACCACUUUUUAUAUAAAAUAUUCUCAGCAAGAAGAUUGCCCGUUAGAUAUACAUUAUACGCAGGGGCUCAAUUUUUGUUUUUAUCAAAAAAUGUUAUUAAUUAAAAAUUAAAAAAAUGUAGAAAUGCCAGCGAAUAGAAAUCAUAAUUUAUGAAAUUUCUGUCUCUAUAAUUUAUCUCUUGUCCACUGUACCUGCGUUGGUUUUGCCGGGGGGUUCGACCGACGACGACAUAAAGGGUCUAUCCUAAUAACUGCUUACCACAACUGACAAUAAAUACUAAAAUCGCGAAAUAUCCUGAUAUUCACUUUAUUGAUGGCAUUUUACAAGAUUUAUUCAUUAAUGAGUAGAGGUAAUUUUUAGGGUAACAAAUAAAAUUGAAAAUAAUUAUCCAAAAUGUGUUCGCCUAUUCGUUGACGAACGAAAACACUAUAGCGGACAAAAAACUUUUUAGUGUCAAGAAUAUAAAAAAAAUAAAA